GGAAGUAAAAGUCGUAACAAGGUCUCCGUAGGUGAACCUGCGGAGGGAUCAUUACACAAAUAUGAAGGCGGGCUGGAACCUCUCGGGGUUACAGCCUUGCUGAAUUAUUCACCCUUGUCUUUUGCGUACUUCUUGUUUCCUUGGUGGGUUCGCCCACCACUAGGACAAACAUAAACCUUUUGUAAUUGCAAUCAGCGUCAGUAACAAAUUAAUAAUUACAACUUUCAACAACGGAUCUCUUGGUUCUGGCAUCGAUGAAGAACGCAGCGAAAUGCGAUAAGUAGUGUGAAUUGCAGAAUUCAGUGAAUCAUCGAAUCUUUGAACGCACAUUGCGCCCUUUGGUAUUCCAAAGGGCAUGCCUGUUCGAGCGUCAUUUGUACCCUCAAGCUUUGCUUGGUGUUGGGCGUCUUGUCUCUAGCUUUGCUGGAGACUCGCCUUAAAGUAAUUGGCAGCCGGCCUACUGGUUUCGGAGCGCAGCACAAGUCGCACUCUCUAUCAGCAAAGGUCUAGCAUCCAUUAAGCCUUUUUUUCAACUUUUGACCUCGGAUCAGGUAGGGAUACCCGCUGAACUUAAGCAUAUCAAUAAGCGGAGGAA
rnacentral:rRNA from 2 species